rnacentral:lncRNA from 1 species
ACGUGAAACGCCGGAAGUUUAUUAGGUGGAUUUAUUGAUCCACUUGGAAUUUCCAACAUUAUUAAAUUAAAAAAAAACAAAUACCUUUAUUCUACCAUUUACCCUAAUACCAAAUUCAUUCCAGUCAAAAAAAUACCUAGUAUAGAAAAGAACUCUCCCUCUUCUGUGCUUACAAUUGAAGAAGAAAGAACAAAUUGAAGAAAAAUCCCAAAUCAUUCCAAUCGAUGUGCCAUACAUUCGCGAAGAUUUGAAUCGUCUCUGGCCGUCAAUAAUUCUACAGGCGAAGAUUUGAAUCGUCUCUGGCCGUCAAUAAUUCUACAGGCGAAGAUUUGAAUCUUCUCUGAAUAGUCUCUCGAAGCUCGUCGCUGUGCCACACAUUGCCACCUGUAUCUCUCUCUCUCUCUAGAAUCUCUUAAUUAAGUAGUAAUACAACACAAUAUUGACCAGAGAGUCUCAUUUGUAGCUCAAGAUAGAGACGCAUUCUAGUGGAUUUAUUUUUUUUUUUUUUUUUUUGUAGUUAUGGCUACAUGAAUAUACAUAUGACGUAUAUAUAUUAUGAGGAAUGUACAUGAGAUAGUAGCAAUUUUUGUAAUUGAAAGAUGGAGCUAAACUAAUAAGGACAGUGGUGUCAGUUAAGUCAGAGAAUUAUUCAAACAUCUGGUGUGCUUUGUGGAGUGGGUGGAGAAAUAUGCACAUAAGAUUUUGGAACUCUUCUGCCUGUUUGUUUUCGUUUAUAUUGCUGCCUUCAUUUCUCAAUUUUGUAAUAUAUUAAUUAAUGUAGUUUUUCUUCGCAGCUCAAGACAGAGACUGCAUUCUACUGCUGAAUUACUACCCUGAGUUUCUUCAAUUGCAGGCACCGAAGAGUGCGACAAUUCUUUUCUAUGAUUUGGGGGAAUUCGGUAUUAGAAUUCUUCAAUUUGGGAUUGACUGGAUCGAUUGGAAUGAUUUGGGAUUUUUCUUCAAUUUGUUCUUUCUUCUUCAAUUGUAAGAACGACUGGAACGAAUUUGGUAUUAGGGUAAGUGGUAGAAUAAAGGUAUUUGUUUUUUUAUUUUUUUAAAGUUUAACAAUGUUGGAAAUUUCAAGUGGAUCAAUAAAUCCACCUAAUAAAUUUUCGGCGUUCC